CUUUCACUAACCAUUAGGAAUCUGAGAGCCUGCCGGUGGAUUCAGAGGCCCGUUAGUAGCUGGACGUUGUUGAGGAAGUGUUUCGUCAGGCUGACCAGAGGAGAGUUCAUGCUCUGGUUCUAGAUCCUCCUCUUCUGGCAGCGGAGUGUCGUACAUCUUCAGCUGUCCUUUCUCUGCGAUCGCAGCGAGACCCAGCUUUGCCGUUUUGCCCGUCUUCCUCCACUCCCGUUCCUGCUCUGCCAGGCUCAGAUGAGCUGGCAUCUUAUUGUUUCAAGGCUCUUAAAGGUAGAGUCAGUGUUAUGCUGACAGGAGCUAGCUGACGGGUGUCUGUUGUCUGCACCGAUAUGUAGGGUUCAAGAGCAGAGGAGAGACUGCCCAAGGACUGCAUCUGAACGCUUUCGACAACAGUUCACUGACUGAAGGAGGUCACUGAAUUAUCAUCUAUACAGGUUCCACAAUCAUGGCACCAAUCAGCACAGAUGUGUUGGGCUGGGCGAUCUCAGAGCAACCAGAGGCUGCUUUUCUCUCCUUAAUCAUCCUCUUCAUCGCUAGCAUCGCACUCCUCGCCCUCUGUGCAAGCUGUAAAAAACAUUCAUUUGAGUUAGAGAGCAGCAGUGCACCAGAGCAGAAAUCAUCAACACUUGUGAGCGUGGCAAGAAAGGACAAUUCAACAGGAGCCAGACACAACCCUGCUGCUAAUGAAAUCACGGGUGAUGAAAUCGGUUUAGAGUCUGGUGAUGUAACAAUCUCUCAAGAAGGAAUCGUGUACAAACCCUGGAGAAGUCACACUCUCACUCACGGUUCAAACCCACCAACUCAAAUAAAUGGCAGUGUUGGGACAACGAAUGAGGGUUCAGUAACGCUUCACGCUAUUUGAGAAAGUAUAAUAAAAAUGGCAUCAACGACGUAGACCUAACACUAGACUUUGUGGUGGAAACCAUCUUCCACCAUCUUUAUUAUGCAACCUGAAAUGCUUAUACUAAACAAAACCCCAAAUUAUUUGGAGAUACUUUCUAUAUUCUUCUGGAGCCAGGCUGAAAUCCUGCUUUGUGAUGUUGACUCCCAUAAAGUGUCCAUCAAACUUCAUAGGAAAUAUUGUAUCCCCUUUCCCUCAGCAUUGACCGGACUGAUUCAAAGCUGAAUGCUUAUGCAGCGGUUCAGACAGUGUCCCUCAGGGCACGGAGCCUGAUCUUCUGGCCACACCCGUUCUGACAAAUAGGAGUCUCUUUGCGGGUGGUCACCAAUUAAAUGCGACAUAGGCAAGAAAAACAAGGCACAUUUCCAUCUGAAGAUGAGGUGGAAGUGUUGUCACUACCAGAGAGACCUGAAGAAAUGAAGAUUUUUCCUGUUUCGUUUUCUGAUGAAUUCCAGUAUUGUGAAACUAUUCUGUAUUCUUAGUAGGGGUGAUGUAUAGACUUUAGCUCUCAGAUCGACUGAUCUGGAUAUGUUUAACUUUAUGGAUUUAAAUGGCAGCACACUGGUGAAUAGUUUUAGGUUUUGAACAAAUGUAUGAAUUCCAGUGGGUAUGCAUACAUCUGAUUAAAAACUUUGUUACUUUAAUUACAUUUUCAGACUCUUUAGAAUUAUCCCUCCUGUUCUGGUGAGAUUGACCUUAUCUAGCAGAAAUAUUUGCUCUGUAGAAUUGGGCCUUUUUUUUUUUUCUUUUGAGGGCAUUUGUGGGUCAAUGACAAGAUAGUGUCAUUUAAAGGCUAAAAUUCUUAAUCUUAGAAAUAAUGUUUAAAAUUAUCUUUUAUUUCUUAAAAAAAAAAAAAAAAAGCAGUGAAACAAUUGUAGACUAUUAUUUGUGUAAACAACAUGCAAGAAACCAUUUAAAAAUCAUAAAAGCAUGAUUUUUGUAAAAUAUCUGUGACUGCAGAAAAUAGAAAAUAAUUCAGUUUUUUUUUUCGGUGGUAUGAAACCAACAUAAUUACAUUUCUGAGAACUUAGCACAUGGGUUUUAAACAUUUUCUUGAAAAAGAAGACUCAUUUUUGUAUGUCAUUGACUCUUAUAUACAAUAGACACUGUACUGACCCUAACUCUGCUAAAUCUGAAGUAAAAUACUGUGUAAUAUAUAAAAUAUUAGAUAACAGCUAUACAAGGAGGCAUUCACUAGGGGCAUUAACCAGAGAGUCUUACAUUGUGAUAAUGUAUUUGCAGUUGCAUUUAUUCAUGGUUUAUACUGUAUUUCUGUGUCACCAAACAUGUAACAUUUUUCAUUGAGGGUGUUUUCAUUUUGAUUAGAACCAGUUCUUUUAAGAUUAGGAAAAUCUCAACAAGAGUUUGGAAUAAAAACAGACCAUAAGGGUUAAUUUGCAUGCCCUAUCUAAUAAAUUCUUAA